rnacentral:rRNA from 1 species
GAUGAACGCUAGCUACAGGCUUAACACAUGCAAGUCGGGGGGCAGCAUGAACUUAGCUUGCUAAGUUUGAUGGCGACCGGCGCACGGGUGAGUAACACGUAUCCAACCUGCCGAUGACUCGGGGAUAGCCUUUCGAAAGAAAGAUUAAUACCCGAUGGCAUAGUUCUUCCGCAUGGUAGAACUAUUAAAGAAUUUCGGUCAUCGAUGGGGAUGCGUUCCAUUAGGUUGUUGGCGGGGUAACGGCCCACCAAGCCUUCGAUGGAUAGGGGUUCUGAGAGGAAGGUCCCCCACAUUGGAACUGAGACACGGUCCAAACUCCUACGGGAGGCAGCAGUGAGGAAUAUUGGUCAAUGGACGAGAGUCUGAACCAGCCAAGUAGCGUGAAGGAUGACUGCCCUAUGGGUUGUAAACUUCUUUUAUACGGGAAUAAAGUGAGGCACGUGUGCCUUUUUGUAUGUACCGUAUGAAUAAGGAUCGGCUAACUCCGUG